UACGUAGGGUCCGAGCGUUGUCCGGAAUUACUGGGCGUAAAGAGCUCGUAGGUGGUUUGUCGCGUUGUUCGUGAAAACUCACAACUCAAUUGUGGGCGUGCGGGCGAUACGGGCAGACUGGAGUACUGCAGGGGAGACUGGAAUUCCUGGUGUAGCGGUGGAAUGCGCAGAUAUCAGGAGGAACACCGGUGGCGAAGGCGGGUCUCUGGGCAGUAACUGACGCUGAGGCACGAAAGCGUGGGGAGCAAACAGG
rnacentral:rRNA from 1 species